AUCAAGCUGACGAGUCCCGAAUAAGACGAAAUGCGUGUCCUGGAU
rnacentral:hammerhead_ribozyme from 1 species